GAAAAGUUUAUUACUUGCUAAAUAUGCAUGCACAAUAAAAAAGAAGAUAUCACAAAAUAGCACGCGUCCCUAUACUGCGCCCCAUGGGUAAAAGGGUACCAACGCGCAGUUCAGUACCACACCACACAAAAUACGAGGGUAAAAUGAAGAUGAACCAGUACGACAAAUCUGAGGAGGAGGAAGAAAGAAGUGCAUAAGAAGAAGAAUUCUGCUCGAGGGAGAAGAUUACUUACGCAGAUACAUCACACACAAUUAUUUAUUUACUGACUUUUUGCCCAAUAACUUUUUGUACUAGAAAAAA